rnacentral:rRNA from 1 species
UACGUAGGGGGCAAGCGUUGUCCGGAUUUAUUGGGCGUAAAGAGCGUGUAGGCGGCCAUGUAGGUCCGUUGUGAAAACUCGAGGCUCAACCUCGAGACGCCGAUGGAAACCAUGUGGCUAGAGUCCGGUAGGGGAGUGCGGAAUUCCUGGUGUAGCGGUGAAAUGCGCAGAUAUCAGGAGGAACACCGGUGGCGAAGGCGGCACUCUGGGCCGGUACUGACGCUGAGGAGCGAAAGCGUGGGGAGCGAACAGG